rnacentral:rRNA from 1 species
AUUGAACGCUGGCGGCAGGCUUAACACAUGCAAGUCGAGCGGGGGAAGGUAGCUUGCUACCGGACCUAGCGGCGGACGGGUGAGUAAUGCUUAGGAGUCUGCCUAUUAGUGGGGGACAACAUCUCGAAAGGGAUGCUAAUACCGCAUACGUCCUACGGGAGAAAGCAGGGGAUCUUCGGACCUUGCGCUAAUAGAUGAGCCUAAGUCGGAUUAGCUAGUUGGUGGGGUAAAGGCCUACCAAGGCGACGAUCUGUAGCGGGUCUGAGAGGAUGAUCCGCCACACUGGGACUGAGACACGGCCCAGACUCCUACGGGAGGCAGCAGUGGGGAAUAUUGGACAAUGGGGGGAACCCUGAUCCAGCCAUGCCGCGUGUGUGAAGAAGGCCUUAUGGUUGUAAAGCACUUUAAGCGAGGAGGAGGCUACUCUAGUUAAUACCUAGGGAUAGUGGACGUUACUCGCAGAAUAAGCACCGGCUAACUCUGUGCCAGCAGCCGCAGUAA